GGUGAGAGUCAUCGAAAAGGGUAGUCAGGAUACUGUUUAGCUUCUACCUAAAGCAGCUUAAAGGACAUGAAAUUUUAGUCACUAAAAGAUUUACCAAUAAAAUAUAUCCUUAUUGUAUUCCAAGUCAGUGUUGUUUAGAUACUCCGUAGUCCAUAGCAUAGAUAAUAUGUCCGUGAGCAUGACCUGUAUAUGAUUAAACAUCACUUCUUAUAUAAAUUAAAGCUUAAAUAGGCAUAAAGCCACGAUCUACCAAAAAAGGUAUAAAGUGGUAUUCUCCAUUCUAUUCCAAAACAUUAAACAACACAAAACAAAAAUAAACCGAUGAAAUAAGACCUGAAAUGAUAAAUUGAAAUUACAAAAGAGUUAUUUCUUCUUUGAAAUAUUCUAAUAACCAGUUAGAACAAAUCCUUCACCGCGUUCAAAUCAAAAUAAAAGCUGAAAUGAUAGAUAUAAGGAACAAACAUUUUACUCAUAGUACACUUCAUUUCUAAAGCAAAAUCAAGGGCAAGUUUCUAACCGUCCUACUUAUUCCACAUGUUAAUUAACAGCAGAUUCACCUCAAAUUUUUGGCUUCAUUGUAAAUUUUUUUUUUUUUGGUAUUUAUGUCUCACGCUCAAUUACCGUGUUGUUGCUUCUACUUUUCAGCUUGCUCUUUUUUACGUCCAGCCACCAGGUAGGUUCUUC
rnacentral:lncRNA from 1 species